rnacentral:rRNA from 1 species
AGUCGAGGGGCAGCAUUUCAGUUUGCUUGCAAACUGGAGAUGGCGACCGGCGCACGGGUGAGUAACACGUAUCCAACCUGCCGAUAACUCGGGGAUAGCCUUUCGAAAGAAAGAUUAAUACCCGAUGGUAUAAUCAGACCGCAUGGUCUUGUUAUUAAAGAAUUUCGGUUAUCGAUGGGGAUGCGUUCCAUUAGGCAGUUGGUGAGGUAACGGCUCACCAAACCUUCGAUGGAUAGGGGUUCUGAGAGGAAGGUCCCCCACAUUGGAACUGAGACACGGUCCAAACUCCUACGGGAGGCAGCAGUGAGGAAUAUUGGUCAAUGGGCGCAGGCCUGAACCAGCCAAGUAGCGUGAAGGAUGACUGCCCUAUGGGUUGUAAACUUCUUUUAUAUGGGAAUAAAGUUUUCCACGUGUGGAAUUUUGUAUGUACCAUAUGAAUAAGGAUCGGCUAACUCCGUGCCAGCAGCCGCGGUAAUACGGAGGAUCCGAGCGUUAUCCGGAUUUAUUGGGUUUAAAGGGAGCGUAGGUGGACAGUUAAGUCAGUUGUGAAAGUUUGCGGCUCAACCGUAAAAUUGCAGUUGAUACUGGCUGUCUUGAGUACAGUAGAGGUGGGCGGAAUUCGUGGUGUAGCGGUGAAAUGCUUAGAUAUCACGAAGAACUCCGAUUGCGAAGGCAGCUCACUGGACUGCAACUGACACUGAUGCUCGAAAGUGUGGGUAUCAAACAGGAUUAGAUACCCUGGUAGUCCACACAGUAAACGAUGAAUACUCGCUGUUUGCGAUAUACAGUAAGCGGCCAAGCGAAAGCAUUAAGUAUUCCACCUGGGGAGUACGCCGGCAACGGUGAAACUCAAAGGAAUUGACGGGGGCCCGCACAAGCGGAGGAACAUGUGGUUUAAUUCGAUGAUACGCGAGGAACCUUACCCGGGCUUAAAUUGCAUUUGAAUAUAUUGGAAACAGUAUAGCCGUAAGGCAAAUGUGAAGGUGCUGCAUGGUUGUCGUCAGCUCGUGCCGUGAGGUGUCGGCUUAAGUGCCAUAACGAGCGCAACCCUUAUCUUUAGUUACUAACAGGUCAUGCUGAGGACUCUAGAGAGACUGCCGUCGUAAGAUGUGAGGAAGGUGGGGAUGACGUCAAAUCAGCACGGCCCUUACGUCCGGGGCUACACACGUGUUACAAUGGGGGGUACAGAAGGCAGCUACCUGGUGACAGGAUGCUAAUCCCAAAAGCCUCUCUCAGUUCGGAUCGAAGUCUGCAACCCGACUUCGUGAAGCUGGAUUCGCUAGUAAUCGCGCAUCAGCCAUGGCGCGGUGAAUACGUUCCCGGGCCUUGUACACACCGCCCGUCAAGCCAUGAAAGCCGGGGGUACCUGAAGUACGUAACCGCAAGGAGCUCCUAGG